AUAUAUUUUAUGUAUUUUAUAUAUUUCCAUAUAAAAUCAUAUAUUUUUAAGAUUCUUACUGUGUUUUGGGAACCAUACACUUAUUUAAUCAUAAUUACAUACUAGUAUAAGCAACAUUAUUAUUUGCAUUUUAUCAAUGGGAAAACCAAGGCAAGCAAAGUUAAUAACUUGCCCAAAGUCACACACAAAGUAAAGGCACGAUUUUAAUUCCCUCCUUGGUUAUGAUUAAACAUGAACUGAUUUUUUUCAGUUGCCAUACCUUGGUCUUUGUGCUGAGUUUUACGCAGGCAUUCAUUGAGCUAUCCGUGACCAAACUUGAUUGUAUACACACUUGCAUACAAAACUCAUGCCAAAUUCUGCUCUCAUGUUUCCUCUCCUGACAGCAAGUUUGCUUUGGUAUCCAGACUUUCCCUUUCAGCCAAACGUUCAUCCCUUCUCAGAAGCAGAAGGAAACUGAAUUUCCUCUCCCCUAUGUUUACGACUGAGGUGACUUGGUGGACCUGAACAGACACUUUCCAAAGAAGACAUACAAAUGAACAACAGAUGGCCCAUGAUGUUGCAGAGAGAACAGCUGCACACACUAUACAUCUUGGCUGCACUGGAACAGGCUUCUCGGGAAGGAGAAUUGGAUGCCAGAGCCCUUGAAUUGCACGAUAGCUGAUCUCGGAAGAAGAGGCGGUUGCCUCCACUCAGCCCCGCUCCAUCAAGCUCCUCACCUCUGUGCACAAGCCACCAGCCUUCCCUGGCAGGCUCUCACUUCUUCAGCCGGAUUGGGAUGCAGGCGCUGUUCUGAGCCUGCUCUUUGGGCAUGUUUUAUUUCCCACCGCUACGGCCAACCCAUCACUGAAUUUACUCUGAAAUGAGAAGGGGCUAAUGGAUUUAAUGACUCUGGAUAAGUCGUGUAUCCUUGAAGAUGCUAUUUUCAGGAAAGAGUCUCAUGUCUCCAAUAUGUUAGGAUGCUGGUUGUUUUGUGGCCUCUUCACUCUGCGGUGGGAACUCUGCUCCAGCUGGGCAACCGGGCAACUGGGCUGAAGAGACAAGGGUAGAAGAAAAAGCAGGCUGAGAAUGCAUAGAAGCUUAACAUCUCUGGAUGACCUGAUGACUAAUGCAGAUAUUCACGAGGGGGAAACUGAGCUCAGAGAGACGACAUGAGGCAAAAAGUUUAUGGCAAAAGAGUAAUGAAGAUAAAGGACUCCUGGGACUUGAUCUAGUUUUCAGUAUUUAAUUUUCAAGAGCAAAUAUAUUCCUUAUUAUGAUUGGGAAUUAGGGAAGAUUAUUUAAAGAAGAAAAACGCAAAAUGUUUCCAAGAAAAAAUAUAUCUACUUGUAUGAGACCAGUGAAGAGUCAGUAAGCUAUCAAAAGGAAAGUCUCUCCCCCAUUUCCUUGAGUGGUGACAUGGACCAAUGCACCUGGACUUCUCCUGCAACUCCAGCCCUCAGACAAGGGCAAGGGCUCAUCACCCCUGAAAGAUUCUGGAAGCUUCUACUGACCCAGUGACUCUGGCACAGUCGUUGGAGCUUGGGGAACGAUGGCCAAGCUUGUGUGUGAAUUAGAGAGAGCUGGAAUGUGGCAGUCUUGCAACACUGGCAGAGAUCUGUGCACGGCAGGCAACUUGGCUGAGUAGAAUAGCGUCUCUCAGACACUGCAGUCUACAAAAAUGACCCCACGUGGCAGCAGACAACAAUGAUGGUGCUGCAGUUCAGGCCCUCCUAGACCAGAAUACCAGCUACAAAAGGACGGGAGUUUUGUUCAUGUGUGAAUCUCCACCACCAAAAGGU